rnacentral:rRNA from 1 species
UACGAAGGGAGCUAGCGUUGUUCGGAAUUACUGGGCGUAAAGGGCGCGUAGGCGGUUUGACAAGUCGGAUGUGAAAGCCCUGGGCUCAACCCGGGAAUUGCAUUCGAUACUGUUUUACUAGAAUUCGGUAGAGGUUGGUAGAAUUCCCAGUGUAGAGGUGAAAUUCGUAGAGAUUGGGAAGAAUACCCGUGGCGAAGGCGGCCAACUGGACCGACAUUGACGCUGAGGCGCGAAAGCGUGGGUAGCAAACAGG